rnacentral:RNase_P_RNA from 1 species
AAGAGCCCAAGGGCAACUGACGUUGAAAACCUAUUUGGUUUUCGAUGAGGAAAGUCCCCUCUCCUGAGGAAUCUGGCCCGUUGCAAAACGGGAUCCUGAGAAGGAUGGAUAUGGCACAGAAACGGCACAGCCAUGGUAAAGGAUGAUUUCAUGCGAAUGACGUUUCCAUGGAAUUGUUGAAACGGCCAUCCCCAGAGGAGCAAACCCAAACAAACGUGGUGAUAGUCCUCUUGAACGUUGGGUAGGGUGCAUUAGUCGAAUGUUGCCUGAAACAGAAAGGGGCUUACUAUGGGCACUU